UUAAGUGCCUGGCACAUAGAUAGGGCAUGGUAAGUAAAUCUUAAUAAAAUAUCUGAUUCUGAAAAAAAUCCUAUUAUGUAUACAAGAUGUAUUAAUGAUGGUUUAGAGAGUAUUAAUAGCUUUUUGGGUAGACUUCUAAGUGAUGCAGAUACAUACAAUUUUAGUAAGUAUUUCCAGUAGAACUACUGCAAUAACAUCCAACAAUGGGCCUAUUGUUAUAGGAAGGGGUUGUGGAAUUAAUACCAAUAAGACCAUUCAAAAAUUUUCAUAAAAUUUUGGAUAAAAGGGUAUCCAUUAGUUGUUAUCAGUUAAGUUUAAAACUUGGCACUCAUGGAGAGCUAUACCAUAAUAUAUAAUAGGUAUAUCUCAUAAUAUUACAUCUCAUAUUGCUCACUCAUUACAAUAGUGAGCAAUAUGAGAUAUAACAUAUUAUAGUAUAAGUCUCUGUGCAUGACCAGAUUAACAUGUUUGGUGCCCAUCUCGAACAAGCUCCACUUGGCUGGUACCACAUACUUAAAUCAUUUAUUUAGUUACACAGUACUACUCACAUAACUUAUGUGUCGUCAGUACCUUCCGUAAAACCUUCGUGAUGCUACCCAUACGUCAUGGCCACUGAAUGUGUUAAAGCUUGUUAAUGUAGGAGAGUUAUACUAAAAUAUAUAUCUUAUAUUAUAUUGCCUUAAAUAGAAAAA